rnacentral:rRNA from 1 species
CUUGCUCCUCUGAUUCAGCGGCGGACGGGUGAGUAAUGCCUAGGAAUCUGCCUGGUAGUGGGGGACAACGUUUCGAAAGGAACGCUAAUACCGCAUACGUCCUACGGGAGAAAGCAGGGGACCUUCGGGCCUUGCGCUAUCAGAUGAGCCUAGGUCGGAUUAGCUAGUUGGUGGGGUAAUGGCUCACCAAGGCGACGAUCCGUAACUGGUCUGAGAGGAUGAUCAGUCACACUGGAACUGAGACACGGUCCAGACUCCUACGGGAGGCAGCAGUGGGGAAUAUUGGACAAUGGGCGAAAGCCUGAUCCAGCCAUGCCGCGUGUGUGAAGAAGGUCUUCGGAUUGUAAAGCACUUUAAGUUGGGAGGAAGGGCAGUAAGCUAAUACCUUGCUGUUUUGACGUUACCGACAGAAUAAGCACCGGCUAACUCUGUGCCAGCAGCCGCGGUAAUACAGAGGGUGCAAGCGUUAAUCGGAAUUACUGGGCGUAAAGCGCGCGUAGGUGGUUUGUUAAGUUGGAUGUGAAAGCCCCGGGCUCAACCUGGGAACUGCAUCCAAAACUGGCAAGCUAG